rnacentral:rRNA from 1 species
CCUUGUACACACCGCCCGUCACACCAUGGGAGUUGGUUGCUCCAGAAGUAGGUAGUCUAACCGCAAGGGGGACGCUUACCACGGAGUGGUCAAUGACUGGGGUGAAGUCGUAACAAGGUACCC